GUACUUUGCUAACUUUCAUAAGACAUAUACUAAAAUUGAGACAAUACAGAGAAGAUUAGCAUAGCCUCUGCUCAAGGAUGACACACAAACUAAUGAAGUACUUUAUAUUUUU
rnacentral:snRNA from 1 species